GUCGAGAAUCUUUCACAAUGGGGGCAACCCUGAUGGAGCGACGCCGCGUGGAGGAUAAGGUCUUCGGAUUGUAAACUCCUGUCAUGCGUGAACAAGGUUGCUUGGUUAAUACCUGGGCAAAUUGAUGGUAACGCAAGAGGAAGAGACGGCUAACUCUGUGCCAGCAGCCGCGGUAAUACAGAGGUCUCAAGCGUUGUUCGGAAUCACUGGGCGUAAAGGGUGCGUAGGUGGCGUGGUAAGUCAGAUGUGAAAGCCCGGGGCUCAACCUCGGAACUGCAUCCGAUACUGCCAGGCUAGAGUACUGGAGAGGUGACUAGAAUUCUCGGUGUAGCAGUGAAAUGCGUAGAUAUCGAGAGGAAUACCAAAGGCGUAGGCAGGUCACUGGACAGUUACUGACACUGAGGCACGAAGGCCAGGGGAGCGAACGGGAUUAGAAACCCCGGUAGUCC
rnacentral:rRNA from 1 species